rnacentral:rRNA from 1 species
UGGGGAAUAUUGCACAAUGGGGGAAACCCUGAUGCAGCGACCCCGCGUGGAGGAAGAAGGUCUUCGGAUUGUAAACUCCUGUUGUUGGGGAAGAUAAUGACGGUACCCAACAAGGAAGUGACGGCUAACUACGUGCCAGCAGCCGCGGUAAAACGUAGGUCACAAGCGUUGUCCGGAAUUACUGGGUGUAAAGGGCUCGUAGGCGGUUCGUCGCGUCCGGUGUGAAAGUCCAUCGCUUAACGGUGGAUCCGCGCCGGGUACGGGCGGGCUUGAGUGCGGUAGGGGAGACUGGAAUUCCCGGUGUAACGGUGGAAUGUGUAGAUAUCGGGAAGAACACCAAUGGCGAAGGCAGGUCUCUGGGCCGUUACUGACGCUGAGGAGCGAAAGCGUGGGGAGCGAACAGGAUUAGAUACCCUGGUAGUCCACGCCGUAAACGGUGGAUGCUGGAUGUGGGGCCCGUUCCACGGGUUCCGUGUCGGAGCUAACGCGUUAAGCAUCCCGCCUGGGGAGUACGGCCGCAAGGCUAAAACUCAAAGAAAUUGACGGGGGCCCGCACAAGCGGCGGAGCAUGCGGAUUAAUUCGAUGCAACGCGAAGAACCUUACCUGGGCUUGACAUGUUCCCGACGGUCGUAGAGAUACGGCUUCCCUUCGGGGCGGGUUCACAGGUGGUGCAUGGUCGUCGUCAGCUCGUGUCGUGAGAUGUUGGGUUAAGUCCCGCAACGAGCGCAACCCUCGCCCCGUGUUGCCAGCGGAUUAUGCCGGGAACUCACGGGGGACCGCCGGGGUUAACUCGGAGGAAGGUGGGGAUGACGUCAGAUCAUCAUGCCCCUUACGUCCAGGGCUUCACGCAUGCUACAAUGGCCGGUACAACGGGAUGCGACGCGGCGACGCGGAGCGGAUCCCUGAAAACCGGUCUCAGUUCGGAUCGCAGUCUGCAACUCGACUGCGUGAAGGCGGAGUCGCUAGUAAUCGCGAAUCAGCAACGUCGCGGUGAAUGCGUUCCC